rnacentral:rRNA from 1 species
GAUGAACGCUGGCGGCGUGCCUAAUACAUGCAAGUCGAGCGAACGGACGAGAAGCUUGCUUCUCUGAUGUUAGCGGCGGACGGGUGAGUAACACGUGGAUAACCUACCUAUAAGACUGGGAUAACUUCGGGAAACCGUAGCUAAUACCGGAUAAUAUUUUGAACCGCAUGGUUCAAAAGUGAAAGACGGUCUUGCUGUCACUUAUAGAUGGAUCCGCGCUGCAUUGGCUAGUUGGUAAGGUAACGGCUUACCAAGGCAACGAUGCAUAGCCGACCUGAGAGGGUGAUCGGCCACACUGGAACUGAGACACGGUCCAGACUCCUACGGGAGGCAGCAGUAGGGAAUCUUCCGCAAUGGGCGAAAGCCUGACGGAGCAACGCCGCGUGAGUGAUGACGGUCUUCGGAUCGUAAAACUCUGUUAUUAGGGAAGAACAUAUGUGUAAGUAACUGUGCACAUCUUGACGGUACCUAAUCAGAAAGCCACGGCUAACUACGUG